rnacentral:rRNA from 1 species
AUGCGUGCCGCGCCCGGCGCUGACAGGGUUCUGGAAGCGGAGGAGCUCGCGAGGUGCCUGGAGAUCAUCAUGGGUGACACGGAGGAGGGCGCAGCCAUACGGGCGAGCUCGGCGGCGUGGAAGGCGAAGUUGCAGGAAGCAAUCGCACACGGCGGCUCAUCGGGUCAUAAUCUGGGGACUUUCGUGGACCAAUUUGCGAAUGAUGCUUAG